GAUCAUGGCUCAGGAUGAACGCUAGCUACAGGCUUAACACAUGCAAGUCGAGGGGCAGCAUUGGAGUAGCAAUACUUCAGAUGGCGACCGGCGCACGGGUGAGUAACACGUAUCCAACCUGCCGCUUACUCGGGGAUAGCCUUUCGAAAGAAAGAUUAAUACCCGAUGGUAUAAAGAGUUCGCAUGUUCUCUUUAUUAAAGAAUUUCGGUAAGCGAUGGGGAUGCGUUCCAUUAGAUAGUUGGCGGGGUAACGGCCCACCAAGUCUACGAUGGAUAGGGGUUCUGAGAGGAAGGUCCCCCACAUUGGAACUGAGACACGGUCCAAACCCCUACGGGAGGCAGCAGUGAGGAAUAUUGGUCAAUGGACGAGAGUCUGAACCAGCCAAAGUAGCGUGAAGGAUGACUGCCCUAUGGGUUGUAAACUUCUUUUAUAAGGGAAUAAAGUGAGGGACGUGUCCCUUUUUGUAUGUACCUUAUGAAUAAGGAUCGGCUAACUCCGUGCCAGCCGCGGC
rnacentral:rRNA from 1 species